GCUUGGCUAGCUCAGUCGGUAGAGCAUGAGACUCUUAAUCUCAGGGCUGUGGGUUUGAGCCCCAUGUUGGGCG